rnacentral:rRNA from 1 species
CGCGGCCUAUCAGCUUGUUGGUGGGGUAGUGGCCUACCAAGGCGACGACGGGUAGCCGGCCUGAGAGGGUGACCGGCCACACUGGGACUGAGACACGGCCCAGACUCCUACGGGAGGCAGCAGUGGGGAAUAUUGCGCAAUGGGCGGAAGCCUGACGCAGCGACGCCGCGUGGGGGAUGACGGCCUUCGGGUUGUAAACCUCUUUCAGCAGGGACGAAGCCGUAAGGUGACGGUACCUGCAGAAGAAGCACCGGCCAACUACGUGCCAGCAGCCGCGGUAAUACGUAGGGUGCAAGCGUUGUCCGGAAUUAUUGGGCGUAAAGAGCUCGUAGGCGGUUUGUUGCGUCGGCUGUGAAAUCCCGAGGCUCAACCUCGGGUCUGCAGUCGAUACGAGCAAACUAGAGUGUUGCAGGGGAGACUGGAAUUCCUGGUGUAGCGGUGAAAUGCGCAGAUAUCAGGAGGAACACCGGUGGCGAAGGCGGGUCUCUGGGCAACAACUGACGCUGAGGAGCGAAAGCGUGGGGAGCGAACAGGAUUAGAUACCCUGGUAGUCCACGCCGUAAACGUUGGGCGCUAGGUGUGGGGCUCAUUCCACGAGUUCCGUGCCGCAGCUAACGCAUUAAGCGCCCCGCCUGGGGAGUACGG